UACGUAGGGUGCAAGCGUUGUCCGGAAUUACUGGGCGUAAAGGGUGCGUAGGUGGUUAAAUAAGUUAGAUGUAAAAACCCUGGGCUUAACCUAGGACUGAGAUUUAAUACUGUUUAACUAGAGUAUGGGAGAGGGUAGUGGAAUUUCCGGUGUAGCAGUGAAAUGCGUAGAGAUCGGGAGGAACACCAGUGGCGAAGGUGGCUACCUGGCCUAAUACUGACACUGAGGCACGAAAGCGUGGGGAGUAAACAGG
rnacentral:rRNA from 1 species